rnacentral:tRNA from 1 species
GGAGAGAUGCUCGAGUGGUUGAAGAGGCACGCCUGGAAAGCGUGUGUACGCCAAAAGCGUACCGCGGGUUCGAAUCCCGCUUUCUCCGC